CCGAGAGGCGUAGGCGAUGGACAACGGGUCGAUAUUCCCGUACCCGUGUAGUCGCGUCCGUGAUGAAUCAGCAGUACUAACCAUCCUGAAGAUCAAGGGUUACCUUCGGGUUUCGUUUGGUUGGAUGCAUGGGACCUUUGCUGGUAGUAGUCAAGCGAUGGGGUGACGCAGGAAGGUAGUGGGGCCAGUCAGUGGUUGUACUGGUGUAAGCCUGUAGGGAGAGACAUAGGCAAAUCCGUGUCUCACAUAUCCUGAGAGGUGAUGCGUAGCCGAAUGAGGCGAAUUCCAUGAUCCUAUGCUGCCGAGAAAAGCCUCUAGCGAGUGGCGACACGGCCCGUACCCCAAACCAACUCUGG
rnacentral:rRNA from 1 species